rnacentral:pre_miRNA from 1 species
UCAAGCCGCAGGUAAUGCUGAGGGUAAUAAUGCAAAUUUUGCCCAUGAACAUUCCACUAAGAAUCUGGUUCAUGGGCAAAAUUUGCAUUAUUACCCUCAGCAUUACCUGCG